AAAACUCUGAUAUAGGGUUUUUGGACUUGUGAGGGGUUUUAUCUAUUCUUCUACUCCAUAACUACCUUGUUUCAGAUACCAUCUCUCACUUAAUGUUCUCCUUCUUUAAGCUUAAGAUUCCUUUUCUUCUGUUUUGAUUGUAGAACAAGGAUUUUUUUGAUAUAUAUAAAUUUUUUAUGAUUGCAGAGUAACUAGAAGCAAUGGAGCAUGGUACUAUACAGAUCCAAGCAGAGCAACGUUCUCGUUCGUUGAUGAAGAUCACAUUCUUGCAAAUGCUGUCAGAUUCACCUUGAAUCAAGAGUGAUCCAGCAAGGGAGGUAUUGAAAGAUGGAUGUCAGAAUUUGAUGUUGAUAUGCCAGCAUGUUAGGAGCACUUUCGACAAGAUUGUUGGUGAUUAUAGAACAAACAAUACCAUAGAAAUGGAAACAGGUAGUGAUGGUUGAAAUGUGAUACAUCUUACCCAUGUGAUCUUGGCAUCCAAGUUCUGUAGGUGUAAUUGAACGCAGUUGCAUGUAUUUGUCUCCAUUCAAUCACAGUGAUUUAUUAUGCUC